GGGGCUGGGGCUCAGAGGUAGAGUGCUCGCCUAGCAUGCGUGAGGCCCUGAGUUCCAUCCUCAGCACCA
rnacentral:tRNA from 1 species